GUCGCUUAGGCUACACAUAUACUAAAAUAAGAGUGAUACAGAGAAGAUUAGCAUGGCCCCUGCACAAGGAUGACACUCAUAUUUUGAAGCGUUCCAUAUUAAA